CACGCCGUAAACGAUGAAUGCUAGGUGUCGGGGGUCAAACCUCGGUGCCGAAGUUAACACAUUAAGCAUUCCGCCUGGGGAGUACGGUGGCAACACUGAAACUCAAAGGAAUUGACGGGGACCCGCACAAGCAGCGGAGCAUGUGGUUUAAUUCGAUGCAACGCGAAGAACCUUACCAGGACUUGACAUAUAUGCGCUAGCACUAGAGAUAGUGGGUUCUCUUCGGAGACGCAUAUACAGGUGG
rnacentral:rRNA from 1 species